rnacentral:lncRNA from 1 species
UAUAAAAAUAAAAGAGAUAUAACUAUACAUUAAGGGCUUGUUUGGUUCAUCCAUUUUAGAUAUGGAAUGGGAAUCGGUUUGAUCAAAUCCGGUUAAUUUUGUUUGGUUCACAGGAAUUGGUUUGGGAUUCCUAUUCCGGACUGGAAUGGGGAUUACCGAUUAGCCUUCAAAUUGAUUCCGGUCUCCAAGCCCAGAUUGAGAUUUCAUUCCUGAAGCCCACUAGGUUCCCGAGGCCCACGUGACCAUCUCUCCCUCCUCUCUCCCUGUAUACGAUCUAUCCCUCUCUCAUCA